GGGCUGAUAGCUCAGCUGGGAGAGCGCCGCGUUCGCAAUGCGGAGGUCGGGAGUUCGAUCCUCCUUCGGUCCA
rnacentral:tRNA from 1 species